rnacentral:lncRNA from 1 species
GUGAAAGGUAGAGUUCCAGGUGCAUUUUUAUGGGUAACCAGUUGUCUCAACACUGUUUCUGGGUGAUCUGCAAUGCCACGGCUCACAUGUAACCAGCACCAUGAGUGCAGGCGUGUGCUGCUGAGACCUCUAUUGUAUUCUGUUGGUCAAUAUCAACGGCAAUAUCACACUAUGUAAUUACUAGGUAUUUAUAAUCAAUUUGUGUCAUCUGUAGGCCUUGCCCUCUUGCCACCUCCUAACUCACUCUAUUUUUUCCAUCCUCUCUCUUUGUUUUUUCUUGUGAAUUUCAAUAGCUCUUGAUCCAAUUCUACAAAAAACAGUGUUGGGAUUUUGACUGUAAUUGCCAGAUUUACUGGGGAGAAUCAAACCUUUCUGACUCACCUUUCCUGCUUUUGGAAAGCAUAUUUAUUUGUGCUAUCUUUGAAUUAAUGCUGCUCCAUUUCUUUCCAUAUUCUUUAAUAUUUUCCUACAGAAUCUUUUUAAAAUUAAUUUUACAAGAGGAUUGUACAAUUCCAUUUGUCUGCAACACCCCGUCCCCCAAGCCAGCACAGUUCAGCAGGGAGAAACUGUCCUCCUACCCUUUCUGUGCAGUUAUCCUCAGGGUUUUUCUCCCAUUGUGUGGCUGUAGCUUGUUGAGUGGACUCUAAACUCUUUCUGGAAGGAGACACAGAGCAUGGGGCAUGAUUCGGUGCCAUUUCAGGAAAGGUCAGACAGUCUUUGUGGCUCUGGUAAGUGCAGUGGAAAAGUAACAUGACAGUAGCGUUGAAGGGAGGCUGCCUGGUUCUCCUGGUUCUGCCAGUUCUCCUGGUUCUCCUGGCUCUCCUGGUUCUUCAGGCUUUGGUGGAUGUGAUCCUCAUGUCAAGGAGUAAUUGUGGAA